rnacentral:rRNA from 1 species
GACGAACGCUGGCGGCGUGCUUAACACAUGCAAGUCGAACGGUGAAGCGCCUUCCUUUUUGGUGGGUGUGGAUGAGUGGCGAACGGGUGAGUAACACGUGAGUAACCUGCCCCUUUCUUCUGGAUAACCGCAUGAAAGUGUGGCUAAUACGGGAUAUUCUGGGCCUGUCGCAUGAUGGGUCUGGGAAAGAUAUUGUUUCGGUGGGGGAUGGGCUCGCGGCCUAUCAGCUUGUUGGUGGGGUGAUGGCCUACCAAGGCGGUGACGGGUAGCCGGCCUGAGAGGGUGGACGGUCACACUGGGAAGGAGACACGGCCAAGACUCCUACGGGAGGCAGCAGUGGGGAAUACUGCACGAUGGGCGCAAGCCUGAUGCAGCGACGCCGCGUGAGGGAUGGAGGCCUUCGGGUUGUGAACCUCUUACGCCAGUGAAGCAGGCCUGCCUCGUUUGUGGGUGGGUUGACGGUAGCUGGAUAAGAAGCGCCGGCUAACUACGUG